CGGAGGAAAAGAAACCAACAGGGAUUGCCUUAGUAGCGGCGAGUGAAGCGGCAAAAGCUCAAAUUUGAAAUCUGGCACCUUCGGUGUCCGAGUUGUAAUUUGAAGAUUGUAACCUUGGGGUUGGCUCUUGUCUAUGUUUCUUGGAACAGGACGUCACAGAGGGUGAGAAUCCCGUGCGAUGAGAUGCCCAAUCCUAUGUAAGGUGCUUUCGAAGAGUCGAGUUGUUUGGGAAUGCAGCUCUAAGUGGGUGGUAAAUUCCAUCUAAAGCUAAAUAUUGGCGAGAGACCGAUAGCGAACAAGUACAGUGAUGGAAAGAUGAAAAGAACUUUGAAAAGAGAGUGAAAAAGUACGUGAAAUUGUUGAAAGGGAAGGGUUUGAGAUCAGACUCGAUAUUUUGUGAGCCUUGCCUUCGUGGCGGGGUGACCCGCAGCUUAUCGGGCCAGCAUCGGUUUGGGCGGUAGGAUAAUGGCGUAGGAAUGUGACUUUGCUUCGGUGAAGUGUUAUAGCCUGCGUUGAUGCUGCCUGCCUAGACCGAGGACUGCGAUUUUAUCAAGGAUGCUGGCAUAAUGAUCCCAAACCGC
rnacentral:rRNA from 1 species